GAUGAACGCUGGCGGCGUGCCUAAUACAUGCAAGUCGAGCGAACAGACGAGUAGCUUGCUCCUCUGACGUUAGCGGCGGACGGGUGAGUAACACGUGGAUAAACUCCCUAUAAUACUGGGCUAACUUCGGGAAACCUGAGCUAAUACCGGAUACUAUAUUGAACCGCAUGGUUCAAUAUUGAUAGACGGUUUUGCUGUCUCUUAUAGAUGGAUCCGCGCCGCAUUAGCUAGUUGGCCAGGUAACGGCUUACCACGGGACCGAUGCGUAGCCGACCUGAGAGAGUGGUCGGCGGCACUGGAACUGAGACGCGGUCCAUACUCCUGCGGGAGGCACCAGACGGGAAUCGUCCGCAAUAGGCGAAAGCAUGACGGAAUAGGGCCGCGUCAGUUGUAACGAUGUUGGGUUCGUAAAACUCUGUUACUGGUGAAAAACAUAUGUCUAAGGAACUGUGCACUACGUGACGGUACCUAAUCAGAAAGCGACGGCUAACUACGUG
rnacentral:rRNA from 1 species